rnacentral:rRNA from 1 species
UACGUAGGGUGCGAGCGUUAAUCGGAAUUACUGGGCGUAAAGGGCGCGUAGGCGGCCUUCUAAGUCGAACGUGAAAUCCCCGGGCUCAACCCGGGAACUGCGUCCGAUACUGGAAGGCUUGAAUCCGGGAGAGGGAUGUGGAAUUCCAGGUGUAGCGGUGAAAUGCGUAGAUAUCUGGAGGAAUACCGGUGGCGAAGGCGGCAUCCUGGACCAUUACUGACGCUGAGGCGCGAAAGCUAGGGGAGCAAACGGG